GCCGGCAUAGUGUAGUGGUAACACCCAAUCCUUCCAAGAUUGUAUUACGGAUUCGAAUUCCGUUACCGGCUCCA
rnacentral:tRNA from 1 species